AAAGUUAAUUUUAACUUUAGUAUUUAUUUUAAAUAUAUAUAUAUAAAUUUUUUAUAGACAAAAAAAUUUUAAAAAUUUUAAUUGUUUUAAAAUAUAUAAUUUUAAAAAUUAAAGAAAUUUAGAUUUAGUAAUAUUAAUUUUAAUUAAUAAAUUUUUGUGCCAGCAAUUGCGGUUAUACUAAAAAUUAUUUAAAUAUUUUGUAAAAAAUUAAUAUUUUUAAAAAGUUUUAAAAAGAAUUUAUAAGGUAAAAUUUUAAAAAUUUUUAAAAAUUUUAUUAUUUAAUAAUUAUAUGAAGUUUAAGAAACAUUUAAUAGACUAGAAUUAGAUACUCUAUUAUUAAAGUUAAAUAAAUAAAUAUAAGGUAUUAAAAGUUAUAUUCUUUAAACUUAAAAAAUAUGGCAGUAUUUUAAUUAAAUUAGAGGAAUCUGUUUAUUAAUUGAUAUUCCACAAUUUAUUUUACUUAAUUUAUUAGUUUAUAUAUCGUUGUUAUAAAAAUUUAUUUAAGAAUUAAAAAUUUUAAAUUUUAUAUAAAAAAUUAUAUCAAAUCAAGAUGUAGCUUAUAAUUAAGAAUAUAAUGGAUUAUUUAUAAAUAAAUUUUAUGGAUAAUUUUUUGAAAUUUAAAAAUUUUAAAUGAGAUUUAAAAGUAAUUUAAUUUAAUUUAAUUUAAUGAUUAAAUUUUAAAAUAUGUACAUAUUGCCCGUCACUUUCAUUUUAAAUUGAAAUAAGUCGUAACAUAGUAGAAAUACUGGAAAGUGUUUCUAGAAAGAA
rnacentral:ncRNA from 1 species